AGUAAAUAUGGGAAUAUAACUAUCUCUUUGAUAUAAUGAUACCCAUUCUUUUGGUUAUGUACCCAACAGUGGGAUUGCUGGAUUAUAUGGUAGCUCUAUUGUUAGUUUUUUGAAGAAUCUCCAAAAUUUUCUCCAUAAUGUCUUUACUAAUUUACAUUCCCACUAAGAGUAUAUGAGGGUUUGUUCCC